AGAUCGGGCCUUUCAGGCAUCCUCUCCUAAAACUUUCACGGCCGGUCCUUCGGGAUCGGCCUUUUUUUUGCCCGCU
rfam:Sphingomonas sp. Root720 contig_2, whole genome shotgun sequence.